AACGAACGCUGGCGGCAGGCUUAACACAUGCAAGUCGAGCGCCCCGCAAGGGGAGCGGCAGACGGGUGAGUAACGCGUGGGAAUCUACCCAUCUCUACGGAAUAACGCAUGGAAACGUGUGCUAAUACCGUAUACGUCCUUCGGGAGAAAGAUUUAUCGGAGAUGGAUGAGCCCGCGUUGGAGUAGCUAGUUGGUGGGGUAAAGGCCUACCAAGGCGACGAUCCAUAGCUGGUCUGAGAGGAUGAUCAGCCACACUGGGACUGAGACACGGCCCAGACUCCUACGGGAGGCAGCAGUGGGGAAUGUUGGACAAUGGGCGCAAGCCUGAUCCAGCCAUGCCGCGUGAGUGAUGAAGGCCCUAGGGUUGUAAAGCUCUUUCACCGGUGAAGAUAAUGACGGUGACCGGAGAAGAAGCCCCGGCUAACUUCGUGCCAGCCGCCGCAGUAAGAC
rnacentral:rRNA from 1 species